UGUAAAAGUCAUAACAUUCUUUUUAUUUUUCUCCUUUGCCACUGCUUCGUCUUACGGCCGAGGAGGUCCAUGGCCAGAUGAUAGUAAUUGUCAAGAUCAAGAAGAUUACCACUAUUUAGACCCGAGAGAUCCGUGUUCGUGUUGGUGUUUAAACGAAAAAGUUUUUUGUCCGCAAUGUUAUGAUGCUACGACUAACGAUGUUAUUACCGAUUAUCCAGAAUCUACACCCAGAUAUAACAAAGAAUAACAUCACCCAAGAUGCGUAUCAAGAAUUGCGAAACUUUUAAUCAAUUAUAAGUAAA